ensembl:lncRNA
GAAGAAAAUACAGAGAGCCACAGAAAGGGGUGGGCACAAUAAGGGGGGGUUACCAUAUUGGACAUUGGGAGUUAAUGCAAGCAGGAGAUGCAAAUGAGAUAAAGAGUGGUUGUCAUGGUGACCUGUUGCGCAGCGAUGGUUUUCUGACAACCUGACUGCAGUUGUGACAUGGCCGCGGUCAAACAGGCAGCGUCGUUAUGAGUCAAGAGACAAGCGAUGUUCAGGAAGCCUCGUUCAUGAAGAUCCCCAUCAGACCCACAGUGCACCGCGGUGGCACCCCCCAGCCUCGGAGUAGCGUUGUCAGUUCCAGAGGCGCGUCAACGCUAGAGAGACACACAGCUUUUACAGCGGGAGGUUGCUCCGCAGUGCCUCCUGUAACAUCCCCGUGAAAUGCUUUGCCGGGCCAAAACAAAGUCGUUUCUCAGGCAGCCUUAUCUCCAGGGUGAGCACCACACCCUCUUUCUGGUUUUCCUGACACAGCUUUUUGCAAUUAGUCAGACUUGACAACUCCUACACCACCCCACCGUAACAACUAGCCUCCACAUCGCUGUAACCUUCCAUCAGGUUAGGCGCGCGUUCCCAACACAACACUGCCACCACAGCCAGAGCCACCACCACUUUGUGUGCCCAAGGAUACCUCAUCAAAUCUGAACAACGUCCAUAACGUGCACAUUUUGUGCGCAGGCGGCACUUUUGGGCAGAGGUGAGCGCUGCACUCUGACAGUGUUUGUCCCAGCGUCGCCAUCGACCUGGCCAAUAGAGAUCGGCCAGGUGACUCAUUACUCCCUUCCCCCCAUUAAAAAGGACGGAAGUCAUCCAGUCGUUGCUUGCUCAUGUCGGGCAUUCGUUUGUGCUUGUCGGGCGGCCAGAUUUGCGGGGCUGUACUCCUGAGCCACGUGGCCCAUCUGAGCUCAUGAUGGCGCCGCUGUGAUGCUCCUCGCUGUGUUCCCUGUUCACAUGACCUUAGUGGUCAAAAGAGAAGACGAGACACCAUCUUCUCGGCUUACCUCUCUCUCAAUGUCUUGUCUCUGUCAAUGCCUCACUUUCAUGGUCUCUACUUCAAACCCUCUCCUGUUUCUCUUCCUAUAUCUUCUCUUCUACAUUCUUCUCACCUUGUCUCUCU